rnacentral:rRNA from 1 species
UACGGAGGGUGCAAGCGUUAUCCGGAUUUACUGGGUUUAAAGGGUGCGUAGGCGGGUUCAUAAGUCAGGGGUGAAACCUCCGAGCUUAACUCGGAAACUGCCUUUGAUACUAUCAGUCUUGAAUUCAGUUGAGGUGGGCGGAAUGUGUCGUGUAGCGGUGAAAUGCUUAGAUAUGACACAGAACACCAAUUGCGAAGGCAGCUCGCUAAACUGACAUUGACGCUGAGGCACGAAAGCGUGGGGAGCAAACAGG